AGUGAACGCUGGCGGCAGGCCUAACACAUGCAAGUCGAACGGCAGCACAGUAAGAGCUUGCUCUUACGGGUGGCGAGUGGCGGACGGGUGAGGAAUACAUCGGAAUCUACUUUUUCGUGGGGGAUAACGUAGGGAAACUUACGCUCAUACCGCAUACGACCUACGGGUGAAAGCAGGGGAACUUCGGACCUUGCGCGAUUGAAUGAGCCGAUGUCGGAUUAGCUAGUUGGCGGGGUAAAGGCCCACCAAGGCGACGAUCCGUAGCUGGUCUGAGAGGAUGGUCAGCCACACUGGAACUGAGACACGGUCCAGACGCCUACGGGAGGCAGCAGUGGGGAAUAUGGGACAAUGGGCGCAAGCAUGAUCCAGCGAUACCGCGUGGGUGAAGAAGGCCUUCGGGUUGUAAAGCCCUUUUGUUGGGAAAGAAAAGCAGCAGGUUAAUACCCCGCUGUUCUGACGGUACCCAAAGAAUAAGCACCGGCUAACUUCGUG
rnacentral:rRNA from 1 species